CCUACGGGAGGCAGCAGUGGGGAAUAUUGCACAAUGGGGGAAAGCCUGAUGCAGCUACGCCGCGUGCGUGAAGAAGUAUUUCGGUAUGUAAAGCUCUAUCAGCAGGGGAGAAAAUGACGGUACCUGAUUAAGAAGCCCCGGCUAACUACGUUCCAGCCGCCGAGGUAAGACGUAGGGAGCAAGCGUUAUCCGGAUUUACUGGGUGUAAAGGGAGCGUAGACGGCAGCACAAGUCUGGAGUGAAAUGCCGGGGCUUAACCCCGGAACUGCUGUGGAAACUGUGCAGCUAGAGUGCAGGAGAGGUAAGUGGAAUUCCUAGUGUAGCGGUGAAAUGCGUAGAUAUGAGGAGGAACCCCAGUGGCGAAGGCGGCUUACUGUACUGUAACUGACGUUGAGGCUCGAAAGCGUGGGGUGCGAACAGGAUUAGAUACCCGGGUAGUC
rnacentral:rRNA from 1 species